CUGGUUCCUUAGUGUUUUCCAAGUCCUCACAUACAUUGAACAACCAAUGCUGCUCAUGGCUGGAGUCUGAAAUCUUCAGGGUCAAGGGCAGAAGAGCCCACAGUGGCCCUGAGCACUGCAGAGCCAGAGGACACUGCCACUGCUAAGGCUGAGAAGCUGGAAGCUACAUAACAAGAGGGAUCAAGAACGCAGUACUGGGCUGGUACUGAAGGCCUGGCAGCUCCUAGAGAGUCGCUGGUGUGAGUGGAUGUUGAAAGCACUGAACUUCCCUCUAGCAACUCCUACAGGGAGAAUCUAAUAGGAAAGCUGCUCCUACAAACCGGAUACAACCAGAGGAG